rnacentral:lncRNA from 1 species
GGGCAUAAUAUCUCAUGUUGGCAACUUGGUCUACUCACAUGUAAAUAUAAUUUUAAGUGAAUAGUAUUUCAUGUUAAACAUACAAGAUGUGUCACGAGGGAGAAUACAGGACUUUGGAGUGAAAUGACCUAGAACCAGUAGACUGAUAAUUAUUGAGUUCCUUCUCAAUUUUAUAAUCUGUAAAAUAGAGAGAAUAGUAAUUCCCUUAUUAGAAUUUUGAAAAGAAAAGGAAAAAGUACUUGCCUUGUGAAAAACAUAGUAUAACAUGAGCAAAUGGUAUACAUUUGUUGGAUUUAAAAAUAAAUUAUAGGUUACCACUAUUAAGAUAUCUAAUAUUGAUUUUACCAUCUGGCACACAAAUGGGGGUUUAGAGAAUUAAUAUCUCUGUUCAUUCAAGAGAUGGUACAGGGUUAAUAAGUUACACAGCCACAGGCUAGUGUUAGGUAAUGUCAAGGCAAUUUCUGAUAGUUGGUUCUCUCUAAUGUCUGAUACUUGAACUAUGAUCAGCAGAAUCAUGAGGCAAGGACCACAUCUUUCUGAGUCAUCUUGCUAAUCGAAGAAGCAAUUGUUAUGUGCAGGCCUUCAGUUUCUCAUCAGUUCUGAAUAUUGUUCUUAUGCAUGCUUAUCUUUUUCCAUUUCAUCAGCAGAUAUUUAUUGAAGACGUUGCCCAUGUCAGGCUGUCAAUCCAAAUGUCACCUUGAAUGAUCUUUUUAUCAUUCAUUAAACUUUCCUUAUUUUUGUUUUAUUGUUUUUGUGGUUAGGGAAAGUUAAACAAAACAAAUUGGUGCAAGGAAAUCUAUGCCUAUCCAAUAGGAAAUGAAAUUAUUGUUUGGAAAAUUUUGUACAGAGUUAAACUGUACAUCAUUCCAAUUAACAAAUGUGUCCUUGGUAUGGAAGAUGGUUAAUGGUUAAAGGGGACAUAUUGCAACAGGUUAGUGUUAGGUACACACACACACACACACACACACACACACACACACACACACACACACACACACAUUAUAGACAGAGUAGGCUAUUCCAGACUGGAUUGGACUAAAUGUGUAGGCAAGAAGAGAACUGAACACUUAAACCCCAAAUCUCACUUUCUGAGUGCUGGCAUUAUACCUAUAGUCUACCAGGUUUGUUUGUGAGAUGCUGAGGAUUGAAGCCAGGGCUUCAGUAUGUUAGGUAGUCAUUGCACCAUCUGAGUUAUAUCUCCACCUAUGUUAGGUAUUAAGCUAUCAGGGUGACUUUAAUGACUUAUUCAUUUUUUUACUUAUCGCUUUAGAACCAACAUAUUCAUACUCAUUUUUAUUUAUCUUGCAGUUAAGAAACUGGAACACAACCUUCUUUCUGCUAGACAUUUGCUAAUUAAAAAAUAUUGCUUAAAUGCACUUCAUUCUGAAAAACAUUUAAGCAUUUAAGUAUAUUUAUUGAUAAUUUCGCUGACAUAAAAUUUGUUUGACUCUCACAUUUAACAUACUGGAAUAAUUGUAAUGUUCUGGUAGUUAUUAACUAUGACAGUGUUUUCUCUUGCUGGGAUGAGAUGUCAGGUCUCGUUAUCCUCUCUGAAUCUCAUAGUGUAGUGGUUCACAUAAGUCUCAUUUAAAAGAAUGCAACCCAGUCUAAUUCCCUCAUAAACUAUGUGAAUAUAAUCUUUAUUCUGAUAGCAUCAUUGGAAAUAAGCUCAUUUUGGAAGCUGCUUAACACUUACUAUUGCUAUUAUGACUUGUAGUAAAAUCAUGAUAAGGAAAGGAAAAUACAUAAUGUGUUUCUGGUUAAUCUCAUACAUUCAGAAUACUGAAGACUAUCCUAAUUUACUUGUAAGUAUGUAGACUUAAUAGUGCAGAGGAAAGAAAAUGUGUGUUAAUCUAUACUAAUAUAAAUCAUUAUAGACAACUUUGAAUAUUAACUCAAAUAAACACUGGCAAAAAUAAAAUAUUUUAAUAAAUUAUCUGAAGUGGUACAUUACAUGCUAAAAGACACACAACUGUAUACUCUGUUACAUUAAAUUUUCAAUUAAAUUAUUUAGUCUUAUCAUAUAUGACUAUGCUACAUGAAACAGUAAAAGGUGAGCAACAAACUAGUGACUUCUUAAAUUUUGAGAAGAAAUAAAGAUCAGAGUGUUUCCUAUUUAAAGGAGCAAAUCAAAGAGGAUUAUUGUAAAUCUAUUCCAGUGCUUGGAAAAAAUUUAUGCUCAUCUUUUGUUGUUAUUAAUCUUGUAGUAAUAAGAUUAUUUCCUUUAUACUUAUUUUUUAAUAUUUUAAAAAUAAACAAUACAUAUGCAUUUAUUUCCAUUAAAAUGGUAAAUCCUACAUAACCAAUAUACUUUAAUACAUGAUGAGGGACUGGAGAGUUAUCUCAGUGAUUAAAGAGUGAAGUGGAUGAGAGUGAAUGCUGAGCUAAUAGCUAUUCUCAUAUAACCGAGGGAGAAUUUAUACUGAGGCUCUAAUUAUGUCUUCUGCAAGGUUGUUUCCUGGUGUGUAUGAAGCUCUGUCAGUUCUUCCUCUGAGACAAUAAUAUGUAUUUAGGCCUAUAACUGCUAUGCAAAACAAUAUCAAUUAAAAAGGUAACAACCCUGAUACUAUAUGAAAGUAAGUGAAAAGGUAGGAAAUUGGGGAAAGGUCACAGUGGAAAUUAGGAGCAGGAUUUGAUAAUGGGGAUUUGAAGAUGAUCAUGUAUGAAAUGAUGUAUGAUGAAGAUGAUCAUGUAUGAAAUGAUUUCAUGUAUGAAAUGUCACAAUGAAACCUACUAUUUUGUACAAUUAGUAAAUGAUACUACAAUUUUUAAGUGACAAAAUACAUUUAAUGUAAAAGUAAACAAGCAAACAGCUAUCUAGAGUGCAGUGAAGGUGGUUACUCCAAUCUUGAACAAACUUUGGGGCCUCU